AGUGAACGCUGGCGGUAGGCCUAACACAUGCAAGUCGAACGGCAGCACAGGAGAGCUUGCUCUCUGGGUGGCGAGUGGCGGACGGGUGAGGAAUACAUCGGAAUCUACUCUGUCGUGGGGGAUAACGUAGGGAAACUUACGCUAAUACCGCAUACGACCUACGGGUGAAAGCAGGGGACCUUCGGGCCUUGCGCGAUUGAAUGAGCCGAUGUCGGAUUAGCUAGUUGGCGGGGUAAAGGCCCACUAAGGCGACGAUCCGUAGCUGGUCUGAGAGGAUGAUCAGCCACACUGGAACUGCGACACGGUCCAGACUCCUACGGGAGGCAGCAGUGGGGAAUAUUGGACAAUGGGCGCAAGCCUGAUCCAGCCAUACCGCGUGGGUGAAGAAGGCCUUCGGGUUGUAAAGCCCUUAUGUUGGGAAAGAAAUCCAGCUGGCUAAUACCCGGUUGGGAUGACGGUACCCAAAGAAUAAGCACCGGCUAACUUCGUGCCAUCCGCCGCCGUAA
rnacentral:rRNA from 1 species